UCUAUGAUUCUAUGAUUCUAUGAUUCUAUGAUUCUAUGAUUCUAUGACUUUAAAGGGCCUACCCCUGAUACUGUGACUAAGACCUCAUCUGAAAUCCAGGCUGCCAUAAAGGAGGUAACCAGAAGCAUUUACAGAACACCAUAAGAUCUGGAACUCAUCCACAAAAACACAAUAAGGUAUGUUUAAAUACACAAAACUCUUCCAAAUAUUUGGAAAUCUGAGCAGGUAGCUUUGAGAAUGCCCAUAAGUCGAAUAUCUCCCAGACCUGCACAUCCCAUCUGUUGCCAAAGUUUAAUCACAAAUAAAAGUGCAGAAAGAAGCUGGCUCAUGAAGUGUGUAGGGGUGCUCCUAUGUGCAGGCAGAUGGUCUUCUUUUGCAAAAUCCCUUACAAAUCCCCAGUAUUUUUGAUGUGCAGGAUCAACUUGCACCUUGAUAACUCCUAUAAAGGGAAUUUCUGCAUUACAAAGAGAUGGUUUUGGUGGUAUUACUUUGUGUACAUCAGUGACUUCACAGAUAACUUGAUAUUUUAUCUCCCUGGGCUAGACUGUGGGUGUGCUACCAGCCCUAGUUCCCUGGAAGGCAAGAGUUGUGAGUUUCUUAAGUUCAGAUAAAUGGUCAUACAUGCACAUGGUCAUCUUUUCUAAGAAACUGAUGCAAGCACACACAGAAACCGUUAUCUCUUAUGCUUCCAUUUCCUUUGAAAAUCAGGCACUCACACUCCCCACAGCACACACACAUACAGAUUGACAAUGCACUAAACAAGACUAAUCCCUGAAGUGCUAUUUUGUCCUGUUUCACUUUUACGUAGGUUGCAUUGGUAAUUGGCUUCAGGAAGGGAAUUUGAGGGAGUGCAAGCGAAUGUGUGUGGUUGCUCUAAUGCCUUCAACAUACAUAUUAUUGCUAAUCCCUACUUCCCUACAUGUUAACCAGACUUUGGUUGCACUUUUGCAUAGCUUCUAUUUCUGCAGCAGAAAAUCUCUUCCUGUAUAUUGAAGUCUGAUUACCGAAAUUAGAACCCAAUAGCUAGGAUAGUAUUUUAGGUACUUUAUGGCUGAUAGUUCACACAUAUUCAUCCUAUAGUUUGUGUCAGUGUUUAGGUAUUUUGAAUCUCAGCUUGAUUAAUUUAAAUGAUUUCUUCUGAGUAAAGAAGUGAGGGCUAGGCUUCUCCAUCAGUUUCUCAUGAGUAAGCCUGUUCUUUUGCUGCUGAAGUACGUGAGUGAGUUAUUUAUACAGGGCUAAAGUAGGACCAAGUUAGACUGUUCACCUAAUGUGUACUUCAUUGGAUUCUUCCAGCAAGUGAGAUGUGUAAUUCAUUGCAAUCCAUCAACUAUUCAGUAGGAUAAUGUUAUGGAGUAAUGCAUUUUUAUUUUUUUUACCAGACAGCAGAUGAAUGACAGCUCUCCCUGUGCCUGGAAUGUUAUUGUGGUGGACUCUUUCAAAAAGUUUUGUCAGCUUAAGUAUAACAAAUACGCUACCCAUUUGCCUUUGGUUACAAAAUAACAUCUAGGCAUUUACCGUUGUUAUAGAGAACCAUAAUUAUAAUCAAUUACUGAGUAUGCAAACAUAUUUUGUAUACCCAAUGGAUUUAGACCUAUUUUCAUUCCAGACUAAUUAGAAAGCUACAUGGUAAUCUCCAGCCCCAGGCUUUUCCUACAAACCCUUGAGUGACUGCUUAACCUCUCCCUUGAAAAUAAACAAAAUGCUGCCACAUCCUCAGCGCAGCUCCAGAUGGAGGCCCCAGCACUGACAGUUAACAUGUUUUUCAGUGACUCCCAUUUAUUUCACUCUGCAGCAUUGUCUGCUAACUACUAGCUUGAAUGGGAAGCUUUAACUUUGACUUUACAUUUCACUAUUUCUAGAUCAAGUUGAUGUUUUUCAUACAUGAUAGGAGAGGAAGAAAACAGCUACAUUUAAAGCAAGUAUUAGUUAGCUAACCCUAAGACAAAAAAAGUUAAAGUCUAGAAGUUUAAAGUACUGAAGCAGGUAUCUGAAUGUAGACAGGGACUCUACUUUCUUGUAUGCUUUCCAGAGCAUGAAGAUAAACAACUACUGGAGUUAGCCUAGGGAUAUCUGCCCUGCCUCUGAGCAACAAAUUGUAUUAGGUGAUCUCAUGAGGUCUCCUUAAACCCUAAUUUUCUAAGAUUAAACUCAAAUUAGACAGGAGGCCGAACUGUGCCGAACUUAAUCCACUACUGCUACAAAUCAGAGUGCCCACCUUGCUCUUUCUGUGUCCCAGAAACAAGCUUUAGUCAUUGUGCCUUUCUAUAGAGGAGAGGCUGAGUACUCAUAGCCUCCUCUUGGGCAUGGGUUUUGGGUGGGUUUCAUGAUGAAGCCUGGUGUAGGAUCUGUAUUUAGCAUGCAUUAGGCACCAAGCAGCUUUGAGCUCAAUGAGAGCAGGACGUUCAGUAUCUCAGGCUGAGUUCUAUGGCAGAGGGCAGUCACAUCACCUGAUGAGCAGCCAGGAGAUGUUGGACACCACAGCAGUAACACUUCCACGAAAUUCAGGGAGUUUAGAAUAGAAAGUUCUUUGGCAAGUUUCAGCAAAGGGCAUGUGGACAUUUACAACCUCACGGGGUGUGUGGAACAGCACCCAUAGGUUGGUUGUAGGAUGGAUAUGCUUUCAGGCCAUGGGAGGGACCAGAACUGCUCAUAUCCAUUUACAAGGUUAGGCAGCGUGCCCCAGCCAAAUCACACUGCUGUACUUCUCUGCAUCAUGUUCAUUUUUUUCCAUUCUAGAAUACAGAGAGAUGUUAGGACCUCAGAAAGAGCUGUUUGUGCAAAUUGCCAAGCAGAUCAAUGGUAUGUACAUUCCAUUCAUGCAGAAAAAAAAAGCAUUAUCAUCAAAUUGCUCAAAGGAACUUGUUUAGGGUGGUAAUUUCCCCGCCAUAUUUCAGCUGUCUCCAGCUAUUCAGGCUGUCUAAAAUAAAUCAUGACUUUUUUUUCUUCUACUUCUAUUUUCCUAACAAUGGGAGAAGUUAGAUCAGUUUCUGUUAACUCUUUUUUGAAUUCUCUUUUUCAUUAAAACCAAAUAAAUUAUCUGACUGCUUUUGUUGACAACUCUACCAUAAGUCCUGAGCACGCAAAAUAUUUCAGCGGGGUUAAAGAAGCAUUUUAACUGGGAGAAGCCAAAUAGCUGAACUGUCUUACCCGCCACUGGAAUGUAAUGCAAGCUAUUUACACAAACCAGGCCUCACACGUUAAAAAACUUUAAUAAGACGUGAGAACCAAUCCCUCCUCUAGAAGCUUUCAUCCUUCAUUGGAGGGAUGCUCAAUCCCAAAUCCUGUUAAAUGGCCUCAUCCCAGACAAUGAUGAAUCCACCAAAAAAACACUAGUUGUGCUUUUUUUUUUUUGGCCACAGCUAAAUGCAUUUGCCUGUGAAGUACUGCUGGUGAUGAGCAUGUUUUAUUAAGCAUGGUGUUAACACUGUUUCAAAAUUUUAACUCCGUUUUCAUACUAAAAUAAGAAGUCGUGUCCAUGAGAGGUUGAGACUGGCUUUUUAAUUACAAGCUGCAAUUAUUUUUUUCCUCAUGAGGUUUCUCAAAUGAAAUAAAGGCACUACUUAGGAGCGGGAGACCAAAAGGAUGUUUCUGAGCUAAAAGGCAGGCAGAAUAGGCUUGGCUUGUCACCAAGUUGCACUGAAUUUGACAAAUGAAAUUUCAUUAGAAGUGCAGGGGUGGUUGUGAAACUGCCAGUAAAUAACUGUCUCCCCAGAGUCUCACACUUUUUCCAGAGUCUAUUUUCUCUUUGGACUCCACUGUGCCAGCAACAGUAUUUUAAAAGCAAGAAAUGGAGUAAAGGGUUAGAGCUAGAAGUUAGUAGAUAAUAAAGGUCAAAUACAUUUUUUUUCCAGGAGCUACUGGAAUUUAAGCAAUUAUUUUAUCUUCUUCUUCUCUCUUGCAAUUUCUUUUGCAGUUGUUACCAUAAAUAGGUCCAAGCCCAGGCCAUGAACCUAGACAAAUUUAGGGAUGGUCCCUUGCGUAAUUUUGUAGCUGACUGCUUUCUAUGCAGUGAACCAAAGCAAAACCAAAACUUCAUUCCCAUCCUCAUGACCCACUUCUCUGAACAGAUUUGGAACUGUUUCAGACAUGGACCUGAACUUAACGGCUGAUGGCCCUCUCUAGUCAUCAUCCUUCAGCAAUUCAAAAUACAAUCUAAACCCAUGUCAUAAUGCUAAGACGGGAGGUCCAGUGAUGGGUGCAAAGUGAAGGAACACAGCUCCUCCUCAGUUACGGAGUCUGUAUCACCUGUGCCUGAAGUACAUAGCAGCAACUCCAAAUGAAGACCCGUGUUAAAGGAGAUGGAGGUACCCAUUCUCUGGUUUCCUUUUUAAAAAUUCAAGAACUUAAGAGUGUGUGUUUUUUGCUAAAUCUAUACCUUCUGCUGUUAGAAGGGCAGAGUGUGAUUUCAGCUCUGUAAUUUGAUAAAAAAUUUAGUUUACUGGGAAACAAGUCCAGCAUAUCACAUGCUUCAGCUGGUAAUAUCAGCAGUACUUUGCUGCCUUCUCUUAUCAGUCUGUAUUCCAUCCAUUGCUGUUGUAAACAGAAGUCAUUGCACUCAUAUUUUACAGGAGCUUGAUUCAUGUUAUAGAGAGAACAGAGCCACAAUCUUCGCUCUUCCAAGAUUCCUAAAGCCGCAAGUGUUUGCAGUACUGACACAGAGUGUAUUUCUAGUGUAGAUGAAGUUGGAGGACUUGGUUUCUUGGUAUAAUUUCUGUUUUCUGGAAUCUUAAUUAGAACUUUCAAAAAACACUGAUAACCCAGCUGUCUUGCCUCUGCUCUCAGUGUAAGGUAAUCCUAGAUGACCUUCUGCAAAUCCCUUUUAAUUAGCCUUUUUCCCAGGGUGUGCCAUGCCAGCAGAUGAUUAAUACGUGAAUGUUACUGUAUUUGCAGCUGCUUCUUUAAAGAUGGAAUUUUAUUUUGAGGCCCAAUGAAGUUUUAGGUCACAAUCAUCUACUAUAAAAUCUAUUCUCACCCUUAGGAAAGCCUAGCCAUACUUUUUUGGGGGAAAGAGAAUCUAAAAUAAAAGCUUGCAGAUGAUAUUGCACAAAACAACACUCAUACACAAUGUGUUCCCAGCAGUCCUGCUGCUUAAGAACAAAUCUCUCUCUCUCCUCCUGCAAUCUGAAUCUACAAGUUCAUCAUAAUGCUAUUAAACAAGUUAGCAAAUGCCAUUCCCCUGUACUGCUCACACUGGAGGCAGUGCUAACUUAUGUAUUAAUGUUACCAAGCCGUGGGGUUGUGGCAUCAGAUAUAUUCCUUAUUCCUGAGAACUAAGAAUUUAUUUAUGCUGUUUACUAUUGAGAAAUAAUACAAAACAAUUCAUACAAGAAAAAAAUUCCAAUUAUGGCACUUAAUAUUUAUCAUGGUAUUUGAUAGAAAAAGGCUAUGUGAAAGAAAAAUCAGGGUGACUUUGCUGAGUUUGCUAGAUCCUGCAUAUCACCUGUUCCAAAUUUGAUCAGAAUCUGGAUCUCCAAUCAGAUGUUAGACUGAAAUGUAACGUAACACUGGGGAGAGUUCACAGUAUAUGUCUUUGUUAUUAAAUUACUGUAAUCCUUGUCAGGAAUUAACUCUAUCAGCUGCUAUGUAUGGUACUAAACAAAGCCUUUUGCAACUGGUAUCAAAAUAUUUUCCCUGAAUCUUCUGUUUGGAGAAAAAAGGAAAAAAAGAAACAGGUAAAUGCACUUUUGCCAUCAUCAGCAUUUCUGAAUGACCUGAGGGCUGAUGGUGGGAAGGAUGGCAAGGUUAACAACUGGUCACACAGAGCCUGGGGAUCCUGGAAAGGGAAGCUAUCGGCAGAUUUAUCUGUCCUGGUAGUAAUAUGGACACCAGCAGCUAUCUGAGGGCUUAUAGCAGAUGUGGGAAGGGCUGCAAAUGCUCAGACCCAAGGCACAAACUGACCUAUCAUCUAGAUAGAAGUUAGGGACAAGCUUCCCCUUUGGGGAAACUGGUGGGUUAUUUGUGACUUAGCUAGGCAGCUGUUUUUUCAUCAAAACCAGCACUCUGGACUAGAUUUUGAAAGAAGUACGGUGAUUCCUGUGUGCUCCGGCUGCAGUACUGUAUAGAGAAGCUCUAUCAGAUGGUGAAAGCACACCAGGCAAAAGAUCCAUCAGUACUUUCUUACAAUAGCUGUAUACAUACCAUACAGUUAAAUGCAGAGAAUUGGGUCCUACAAGGCGCUACCAGCACUGUCAUUUGCUGAAAUCAUUGUAAACUCAGGAUACUUUGCAGCACUGUAACCUGGGCCCUUGAGUCAGGAGGACACCUCUCACUUGAGGACCAAAGGGAAAAAAUUAGAGGACUGUGGAAUCUGAUGGCAGAGAGAUCUGAGAGACAGGCUGCAGAGAAGGGUUCAGCAGUGGAGUUUUGUACUGUUCUGGGAGCCAGUAAAGAUUUCUGAAGAUAUUUGCUUGGUAGAACUCCCGCUGCUUGUUUCAGUUAGCUUGGUCUCAUUUUUAAUAAGCACCAGAUGAAAAUGUUGGGCAGGAUCUUGCACGCAUCUCAGUAUUAAGGCAGAAAGAUGGGACUGGACAGACUGAGCUGGAACCUCUAGGCCUGUCCUGGCAGUGCAGGGAGAGUGGCAUUACCCAACCAAAUUCAUUGUUUUGUUUUGAGCUGUCUUUUAUGUUUCACUUGGGAGACUUGAAACAUAAAAUGUCUCUUUAGGUGCCUUGUUGCCAGUCUCUGUUCAGGGUUGCUGAGGUCUUCUUUUGAAAGCAGUUGAGAAUAAUCAAAUAAUGAUUGCCAGUAGCGGAUAGCUUUUCUAUUAAGUGACAGUUAAAGCAUGUCAGCAAUCCUUGAUUGAUAGCAGACAAACCAAGCUGCUCUCAUGUUCUCUCCAUGAGACUUUAAGUCUUGCUGACAUGCCCAGGAAUUGAAAAAGCCCAUGAUGAGAAGUGGUAACAGCUUGUAAACACCGAGUGUAGCCACACCUUGCAGCGCAUACAGCUUGAGGGAACAGCUCUGCUAAUCUGCAUCUGCCCUUAAAUUCCAGGAAGAAAGUCAUUGGUAAUACAACACAAUGACUGUUCUCCAUCUGCAAUCAAUUGCUGUUUAACUAAUGAUUUUAAGUAGAAAAUAGCCACAGUCAUCUCUUAUUAGGUCCUUGAAUAAACAAUGGCUGUUGCUUGAAUACUUCAUUAUCACGGAGGGGAUGUAACCACUACUUUUUUUUUUUUCCAGGUGUUUGCAGCUGCUAAGGAUGGCAUAGCUGUGGGCAGGCAGAAUGUGGGGGCUGGCAGGGUGCUGUAGAAACCAUCAUGUGGUCUGAGUCUUGUGCUUCAGAAAAUGUGUCAUCCUGGCAGAACAGGACAGCAGAAGGAAGGCUUAGAAAGAGGGAAGAGUGAAAGAAGAGGGAAAAUAAAACUGGUGAAGGACAGGAAGUAAACCUCGAACUAGCGUGGCUUCUGAAGAAGAGAGCACCAAGAACUGGAAAACAAUGAAGUCAGGUGUCAAGAUGUUGAAGCCAAAAGCAGCCAGCUGAGUCAAAUAAAGAAGAAUGGAAGGAGGGACUCAAAUAGUUGAAGAACAGGAGGCCUCACCUGCAGAACUGUGUUCAGCUCUGGGGCCCCCAGCACAAGAAGGACAUGGAGCUGUUGGAGUGAGAUCAGAGGAAGCCACGAGGAUGAUCAAAGGAUUGGGCCACCUCUUCCAUGAAGACAAGCUGAGACAGUUGGGGUAGUUCAGCCUGGAGAAGAGAAAGCUCCAGGAAGACCUUAUUAUAGCCUUCCAGUACUAGAAAGAAGAAAUUCUUCAU